ensembl:lncRNA
GAAGUGGCACAGAGACCCCAGGGGUGGCACAAGGACCCCAAGGGUGGCACAGGGACCCCAGAAGUGGCACAGGGACCCCAAGGGUGGCACAGGGACCCCAGAAGUGGCACAGGGACCCCAAGGGUGGCACAGGGACCCCAGAAGUGGCACAGGGACCCCAGGGGACCCCAAGGGUGGCACAGGGACCCCAGAGGUGGCACUGGGGACAUCCAGGGUGGCACAGGGACCCCAGAGGUGGCACUGGGGACAUCCAGGGUGGCACAGGGACCCCAGAGGUGGCACAGGGACCCCAGGGGUGGCACAGGGACCCCAGAGGUGGCACUGGGACCCCAAGGGUGGCACAGAGAGCGGCACAAAGACCCCAGGGGUGGCACAGAGAGUGGCACAGGGACCCCAGGGGUGGUACAAAGACCCCAGGGGUGGCACAGGGACCCCAAGGGUGGCACUGGGGUCCCCAGGGGUGGCACAGGGACCCCAGAGGUGGCACAGGGACCCCGGGGGUGGCACAGAGAGUGGCACAAAGACCCAAGGGGUGGCACAGGGACCCCAAUGGUGGCACAGGGACCCCAGGGGUGGCACAGGGACCCCAGAGGUGGCACAAGGACCCCAGGGGGGGCACAGGGACCCCAAGGGUGGCACUGGGACCCCAGGGGUGGCACAGGGACCCCAAUGGUGGCACAGGGACCCCAGAAGUGGCACAAGGACCUCAGGGGUGGCACAGGGACCCCAGGGGUGGCACUGGGGACAUCCAGGGGUGGCACAGGGACCCCAGAAGUGGCACAGGGACCCCAGGGGUGGCACUGGGACCCCAGAAGUGGCACAGGGACCCCAGAAGUGGCACAGGGACCCCAGGGGUGGCACAGGGACCCCAGGGGUGGCACAGGGACCCCAGAACUGGCACUGGGACCCCAGAAGUGGCACAGGGACCCCAUGGGUGGCACUGGGGACAUCCAGGGGUGGCACAGGGACCCCAGGGGUGGCACAGGGACCCCAGGGGUGGCACAGAGAGUGGCACACCAGCGUCACCGCGCAGUUUUAUUGCCCAGGUCCUGUGCCAACCUCCUGACCUCGGGGUUGGGGUACUCGGGGUUCUCGAUGGCGCCGGGCCCGAAUUUGAACUCCAGGAAGGCUCGGGGGUCGUUGGGCGCCUUGGCCAUGACCCCGACGAAGGGCACGGUGCCAAGGGGCACCACGAAACGCUCGGGGAACUCCACAUCCUGCCGGUGACCCAACCACGUGUCCUUGGUCAUGACGGCGGCGCCGGGGCGGACGUAGAACGGCCACAGAUCCACGUGGAGCCGGUUGGUGCGGCUAAAAUGGACGCGGUAAAAUUCCCCUUCAACGGCUUUCUCCCAAAAAAACCCGUCGGGAUCUUCCAGCGGACGACCCGUCGCCGCCACGGCCGCCAGCCAACGGCACUUGGGGACGUCGUCGCGGUAGAAGCCGACGUCGACAUCGUAAUCCCACGGCACGAUGUCGCCGUGCCGGACGGCGCCCAGCAGCGAGCCGCCCUCCAGCCAGUGGCGCACGCCCGACGCCUCGAGCUGCGCCAGGACGUGCCGCGCGGUGAGGCGCAGCGCCCGCAGGCAGCACGGCGGCGUCCAGCGCCCCGCCAGCAGGUACUCGGGGCUCUGCGCCCGCACCGUGCCGAAACAACGCGCCGUGUCCUUGCCGCAGCCGUGCCAGCGCCGGGAACCGUCCGGCAGCACCUCCAGCUUGAUGCCGAAACGCUGCAGCAACGCGCGGCGACGCGAUUCGGCAACGCCGGCGCGGGAUGGCGACACACGUGGGGACGGAGGGAAGGAGGACGGGAGAAGGAGGAGGCGCCAACCGCGCGCCGCCGCCUGUAGGGACAGCGAGGUGGACACCGGGACGGUCAACGGGAAGGGCAGCGAGAAGAGGUCGCGCGUCCGUAGGAGAAGCACGGCCGGGGUUUCGUCCAGCGCGCCGCAGAGGUCGCCGCGGUGGUCAUCGUGGUGGUCAUUGUGGUGGUCAUCAUGGUGGUCAUUGUGGUGGUCGUUGUGGUGGUUGUCAUGGUGGUCAUCGGGGUGGUCAUUGUGGUGGUUGUUGUGGUUGUCGUGGUGGUUAUCGUGGUGGUCACUCCGCCGGUCACUCCGCCCAUCGGCGUAGCUGUACCGCACCGUCCACGCCUUGACGUCCACCUCCACCUCCAAACACCGCGGCCGCCGCCGCCCCACGGCCGCCGCCACCACCUUGGCGUCGGUGGUGGCUUCCAGCGCGUCCCUCAUGCGCCGCAGCAGCCCCGGCGCGGCGCGGGCGCCGUCCGGCACCAAAGCCACGUGGCGCGUCCGCACCGCCAGCUCUGGCCGCGGCGGCGGCCGGUGCAGCUCCGGCCGCAGCGACAGCACGGCCACGCCGGCGGGAAGCGGCGCCGGCGGGUACGGCGGCGUCUCCGAAGCCACCAGGACGGUGACGCCGGGCAGGGCGGCGAAGGAGCGGGCGGUGGCGGCCACGUCGUGCUCGGGACCGUCGAAGUCGCGCAGGAUGACGGUGACGCCGGGGACGCCGUCGGCGACGCGCCGGGAGCGGCGGCACGGAGGGGACGCGCCGGGGAGGAGGUGGGAGAAGAGCAGCAGGAGGAGGUUGAGGGUGAUGGCGGCGGCCAGGGCGGCCUGGCAGGGCGUGAUUCGCAUGGUGGCGGUUAAUUAAUUAGUUAAUUAAUUAGUUAAUUAAUUAUUUAGUUAAUUAUUAUUUAAUUUGGAGGUGUUGCCGCUUGUUGUAGGGUCGGUGGUGGUGGCGAUACCAGCGGUGACCACGCGGUGGCGCUGCGGGUGUGGAUAUAUUAAUAAUGGAUUGUUAAUGAGGCGUUAAUUAAUUCCCCAUAAUUAAACCCAAAACUCACCAAAAAAAUCCUCUCUAAUCGACCAAACAACCCCGAAAAAUCCUAAAAACCUCCAAAAUGCCCUUUAACACACCAAAGAAAUAUGAAACCCCCAAAAUUUUCUAUAAACCCCCAGUGACCACCCCUAAAAGUCUCCUAAACGCCCCCAAAUCCCCUCAGGCCUUACAAAAAACCCAAAAAUUCUCUAAAAAACCCCAAAAUCCCGCAUAACUCUUAAAACUCCCCUCUAACAUUUCAAAGACCCCCCCCAAAAAUCCCCUUUAACCCCCCAAAAAUCCCCAAAAAUCCCCCAAAAAUCCCCCAUAAAGAUCACAAAAAUCCCCUGCAAAGGCUCCCAGAAAACACUCCAAAAAGUCCCAAAAUCCCCUUU